AGAAAGUAUCAAUUAUAAUGCAAAACUCAAGGAGAUACUUACAAGCGAUAGAUAUUGGAAAAGGGAUACGACAACUAAAUUAAACAAUGGUGGGCAUGCUUGAAAAGAAGUUAAUAAAAUAAUGGUGGAGCUUUUUAACUAAGGCAUAUCCUAAAAGUAUAUGCAAAUAUGAUACAAAAGGGUAGAGCAGCACUAGCAACAGACACUUCUGUCAUUGUAGCUUUGUUGAUUGGAAUCCCAGUGGGCUCUCCACAAAAUUCUUACCCAAAUCAAGAACAUCCAAUUAUGCUGACCUUUCACAUUCAAAUUCCAUCUUCCUGAUCCCACCUAACCAUUUAGGAUAACAUUAGCCCUAGGCUCUAGCUCAAUUGGCUUGAAUUUGAAUCCAAGUCCUGUGACCACAUAUAGCUUCUGUAUUUUUCCAGGGAAAAGUCUUGCCUUGGCUUAUGAGCUAAGUUGCAAAGCGAUGAGGUACUCGAGGCGUCGGAACGACCACAUCACGACCAGAUUUUAUCAAGUUCUGACGAUCUUGGAUGGUUUUAUCAAACAAUCUGUUCUCAGGAUUUUCUGCAUAGCAAACAUAGUAGCAGCUCACACAAGCAUGUGGCAAUGUCAUAGCAAUCCUAGUCAAGAGGUAUCCAAUGAAGCCUGCCAAGAGGGAGAGAGUAGCUGUGAAAGGCUGGUGCACUUUAGCAGUCCAAGCAGCUACAACAAUAACACAAAUGGAGGCACUACAAACUCCAGUAAGGAAACAAAUUGAGCUGGUAAUGUCAGAAUCGACAAUGCGUUCCAUAUCUUGCCUCUGAAAUUGUGCCCAAGUAUCUUGUGAUGCCCGAACAAAACCUUUCCCAUAUGCAGCUAUCUGUACAAAGGCCCAGCCAUUGCCAUAUCUGAAGAUGGAGUUCAUGACUCCAAGACAGCAAUGAGCACAAGAAAACAUGAAUUCGUCUUCUCCUUCUAGCAAAUUCAGACCCCGAGCAAUGAUUCUUAGCGCUUCAAUUGCCGGUACAAAUAGAGAUCCUAGACAAGCACUUCCAAGAUUCAGAGUUACAGCUCUUUGGAAACAAAAUUGAGUACUGGCUUGCAUUCCUCUGAGAUAAUACAAUGAGAUUACUCUACUAACUGUCAAAUUAACCACAUUCCUCAUAACCUCUGUAGUCCAAACCAAGCUCGAUAGUAAUGCAAUAAUUGUCAAAGGUGGAAAGGAGAAAUUUAAGGCUCCAAUCACAGCUAAAAUCCACAGAGACAUCCACAGGAACCCAACUCCAAGCAUCCAAUAAGUAGGUUGAUUCAAAUCACCAAAUUUUGGAACAGGUUCAAGGGAUUUAAUCAAGAUUUUAGUACUAAACUUGAUUCUUUGAGUAACCCAACAAGCAUAUAAGCCAUUACCAAUUGCAAAAGCAAUAAGACAAACUCCAACACCAUCAGUGAGAGCCUUUUGGAAGCAAAUUAAGAGAAUUCCAGCUGAAAGUGUCAUGAAGAAAGAGCUCCACAAUAUGAAAUGAAUCAUGAAUCUAGGCCAUACUCUAAAUGCUUUUUGCCAUGCCAAAGCAAGAGUAAUGCUCAAUAGAGAUGCUACUUCAACUUGAGGAAGGAAAUACUUCAAUAUUCUUAUCUCUUUUCUUUUAACAGUAUCUGAUGCUGCUAUAAGUCCUUGAAUUCCCUUGAAUAUAAGAAAACAUACUAGCCCAAUAGCCAGAACCAUGUGCAGCACAAACAGAAACAGAGAUAUUCUGUUGGUAUACCUUCUUGAAUUGAGUGUUGUUAUUGAUGGUUGUGGUUGUGGGGUUGGGGUAGAGCGAGGCAGAGAGGUCUGGGAAGGAGAAGGAGAAGCAACUCUAGUAGAACUAUUGAUGACAAUUCUCAGAGGGUUCGAUGGGUUCAAUCUUCGCAACAUUGACACAUGAAAAUUUCUCUGAUCUUCAUCAUUAAAAUUAUCGCUCUCCAUCACCUUUUCUUUAACACCCACCUCUCCUUUCUCCACAUCUCUCUCUCCCUCCAUCCCUUCUUUCCUCUCAUUUCCUUCUUCUUCUCCUUCUUCCUCUUCAUCUUUUUUCUUCUCUUCCUCUCCCCUUUCACUCUCUUUCUCCAGCACGUUUGCUUCUAUUACAGGUUCUGCAGCACCCAUUCCGUCGUCGGUGGUGGUUGUGACGGUGGCACCGGCGGCUGUGAUGGUGGUGAUGUAUGAAAACCGUUACUGGAUUUUGUAUGGUUUAUUUCGUGUCCUGUUAGGUGGUGUUAUUCA
rnacentral:misc_RNA from 1 species